GACGAACGCUGGCGGCGUGCUUAACACAUGCAAGUCGAACGGAGAUAUUUGAAAAGCUUGCUUUUUGGAUAUUUUAGUGGCGGACGGGUGAGUAACGCGUGAGUAACCUGCCUUGGAGUGGGGAAUAACACAGGGAAACUUGUGCUAAUACCGCAUAUGCCUUGAGUAACACAUGUUACAAAAGGGAAAGGAGUAAUCCGCUGAUAGAUGGGCUUGCGUCUGAUUAGAUAGUUGGUAGGGUAACGGCCUACCAAGUCAACGAUCAGUAGCCGGACUGAGAGGUUGAACGGCCACAUUGGGACUGAGAUACGGCCCAGACUCCUACGGGAGGCAGCAGUCGGGAAUAUUGCGCAAUGGAGGAAACUCUGACGCAGUGACGCCGCGUGCAGGAAGAAGGUUUUCGGAUUGUAAACUGCUUUAGACAGGGAAGAAAUAAGACAGUACCUGUAGAAUAAGCUACCGGCUAACUACGUGCCAGCAGCCGCGGU
rnacentral:rRNA from 1 species